AGAGAGAGCGGCGUACGGGUGCGGAACAUGUGUGUAACCUACCCUUAUCAAGGGGAUAGCCCGGAGAAAUUCGGAUUAAUACCCUAUAAUAUAUUGAAUGGCAUCAUUUAAUAUUGAAAGUUACGACGGAUAAGGAUGGGCACGCAUAAGAUUAGCUAGUUGGUGAGGUAACGGCUCACCAAGGCGAUGAUCUUUAGGGGGCCUGAGAGGGUGAUCCCCCACACUGGGACUGAGACACGGUCCAGACUCC
rnacentral:rRNA from 1 species